UUAUUUCUAAACUUGCUCAGUGGUAGAGCAUCUGCUUUGCAUAUAGAAGGUUCCAGGUUCACUCCCUGGUGUCUCCAAGUAAG